GUGGACUAAAAAAUUUCAGUAAAAUAUUAGAUUCUCUCCAACAUUUUCUAAUCGCUCUCCCAUAUUUUUAUUGGCCAAUAAAAUAAUUGAUAAAACAUUAUUAAAAACUUUCCUAUCUAAGAAUCAGAGAGCAAAUUGGGGCUAUUUAUCUUCUCCAGAACGGUAGCUGCAGGUCCUUCUUAUAUGAAAAAUCCACACAAUUUCUCUUCUCUACAACUUCAAAUAGACGAGUAGAUACUGAAGAUCGAAGAGAGGAAGCAGAAGACUGAAGAGCUGAGCUGAGCUUAGCUCUUGCGGACGAACUGUUGCUGAGCUGAAGAACGUAAGCUGAAGAACCAAUUUUGUCAAGCGUUGUCAGCGGUAUUAAUAAGGGUAGCAAUUGUGAUUUGAAGAUAUAAGGUACACAAAGACUUCACUUAACAUUCUAUGGAAACUAAAAGCCUCAUGACUUACAUGAGCAUUUCCUCUUGCAGUUAUUGCCAUAAAAGAGUACUAGUUGUGAAUAGCAAGUGAUAUGCAGAUCACUUAUGGUAAUAUUUGAAUUACGUAGGAUCUUGUGAGAAGAUUAGAGAAGAUAGAACAAAGAUUAUCAUGAUGGUUUUCUCUUCUCACCAAGGGUAUAGUAAUCAAAUUACUUAUCAUAAACUUUCAAAAACAUUUGUGGAGGCUUGAAGGUUUGAUUUGGCAUAGCAUAAGUGCAAUGACUAUGUAAGAAAAUUUUAUCAUCUCAUAACACAUGAUUCUGAUAACUUACGCGUGACUUCUAAAACUUAUUUUUGUGAAGUAGUUAAUGAUUUAAUGAUUCUUAAUAAAAUUAGCAUUACUGUUAGCUUCUAUGUAUGUAUGAAUACAAUUGAAAGAUUUACAUUGAUUAGUUAACUCUUAAAAGAUUCACAUUUCUGUCCACUGCAUAGGACACUGAAUAUAUGGUACGGUGUUGAGCAGGUGAUAUAUGUAUUUAACGAUCAAAUACUUGACCCUGAAUGAUGUAUGAUCCACUGUGUCACACCCUUGCUGAUAGUAGCUAACACACUUCACUGAAUCCCCUCCAAAUGUCACCACUUUUUCAUUGGUUGACAAUUUAUACCUCAAUAUUGUACUCUCUAGACCACAAAGGACCACAAAGGUAUAAACUAAUUGACAAUUUAUACCUUUGUGAAUUUUGAUACAAGAUGGUGGAAGUUUGUUUUAGGUUCCACAAUUUUGUGUGUUCAAAAUGGUGGAGUUGAAGUUGAUGUAUUAAUGAUAUGAACAUGACAUGGAAAUACUCUUUAAAUGUUUAUUAUUAAUUAGCUGUUUUGUAUGUCGUUUUUGUUAUUUAUCGUCUCUCGUCUGUGAAAUUGAUAGAGGUCGGACAAGUUAUAAAGUUGUUUGUGGGUCUGUUUUUUACGUGGUGUGUCGUCCACAUGCUAAGAUGGUUUAGGUAGCCAAACUGAAGCUAAAAUCCAAAUGGUUGUAUUCUAAGGAACUGAAUAUCUUAAAAGUUGAUAAAGACAUCAGUAUGACAAUUAUUGUUAAUCUUUUUUCUUCUGGAAUUGAUUUCUUUUUGACUAAGAAAUGGAUAUUGUUAGUUUUCAUACUCUCCAGACCACAAAAGGACCUUUUGAAUGGUAAUGUUGGAAUCUGAAAAAGUUGAAAUUGGAAAAUCUGGAAACAGGAAAUCUGGAAUCUCUAUUUGUAUUUCUAAAUAUAAAAUAGUAUUUCUUUGUGCUAUUAUAGAUUUUUCACAAGUUCCUGCAAAUAUAUUGCUAUUUAGUCUAUUUUUUCUAUGUCUUAAUUCUUUUCUUUUUGCAAUAAUUAUUUUAUUAAGUUCUUGUUUAUAUUCGUUAUUCAUCGUAUUUUUAAAUAUUUAAUAUAUUUAUAUUCUAAUUUAGAAAUAAUAUCUACCAUUUCUUCUAAUUCUUCAUUUUUUGUAAUAUUAAGUUCUUUAUAUUUUGGAUAUAAUUUGUCUAAUUUUCUUUUUAUUUUUCUUAUCUUUCUGUUGAUACCAUACUUGUUUUUAUUUUUCAUAGCUCUGAUACCAUUUUUAGGGGUGCGGAAUUCAUCAUAAGUUAAGAUAUACAUUUUAGGAGGGUGCGGAAUUCAUCAUAAGUUAAGAUAAGUUAAGAUAUACAUUUUUGGGGGUGCGGAAUUCAUCAUAAGUUAAGAUAAGUUAAGGUAUAUAUAUUUCUUCUAAUAAUUGUUUUAAUCUAAUUAUUUCUUCAAGGAUGCUUAUUAAAUAUUCCAUAUAUAAUAUAUCUUGGGUUCUUUGAUACAUAUUUAAAUUCUAUUGUAUUAAUUGUUCUAAUAAUCUUAUAUUUUUCAUAGUUUCUAUCCAAUGUUCUAAAUAGUAAUAGUUCAUUUUAAUCUGAAUCUAUUUCUAAAUCGUAUAUAUCUAUUCUUUCUAUUUCUAAUUCUUGUAAAUUUAUUUUAUACCAUUCUUGAUUUAAUAUAUUUUCUAAAUCAUAUUCAAAUAUUUUUUCCCAUAUAACUCUUUUUAUGUCAUCAAUUUCUAUAUCUUUAAGUAUAUAUAAAAUCAAAGUUUUAUAGCUUCUUAUUUCAUCGUACAUUGUAAACAUGUUUAUUUUUAUUAUGCAGGUUUUUCUUCAGUUAUUUCUUCCUAUCAUAUCAUAAUGUAAUUAAAUUAAUAUUAGUUUAUUAUAAACUAGAUUAUCGUUAUCAUGUUUUCUAGUCACUAUUAGCAUCGUACUUUAGCGGAUAAUUACUGUUUAUCAGCGCCUCAACCUUGUGUACUCUCCUAAGACAUCCCUCGCCUACCGGUUUCCACUGUGGGAUGACAUAGUCUAGCAGUUUUCUCCC